GUCCACGCUGUAAACGAUAAUCACUAGACGUUGGUUCUGUUUAACGGGAUCAGUGUCGAAGCUAACGCGUUAAGUGAUUCACCUGGGAAGUACGGUCGCAAGAUUAAAACUCAAAAUGAAUUGACGGGGGUCCGCACAAGCGGUGGAACAUGUGGUUUAAUUCGACACUACGCGAGGAACCUUACCUAGGCUUGACAUGUAUUUGACCGUCGUGGAAACACGAUUUUUCGGACUUCGGUUCGGACAGAUACACAGGUGCUGCAUGGCUGUCGU
rnacentral:rRNA from 1 species